GUGAUUUCGUCUCUUACUUGUCGGUGAUGUGUUCUUUUCCGUGUAUAUGUUGGAUAACCUUAAUGUUUCUCAUCAACUUAUAGGAGGAAACGUGAAAGGGUCGUAGCCGUCGUGCAACCUACCGUCAACUAUUUUGUUCAAAAUCAUUGGAUUCUACUGAAUGUGCCAUCGAAAUGAUACAGGAGUCAUAAUUGUUUGUAUUGGACUUGCUAGAUCACCAACCCCAGCAUAGACCAACCUCUCAUUUCAUCUUCUCGAGAGAAGAUUGGAUAACUGAUUGGUGGUUUCAUGUGUUCUUAACUCCAGGUUUCUAUAUUUGGAUGGCAGACUUAAUGAGAAGUCAUGUCCUUUAUUCAAGAAAGUCAACAAGGUCCCUUGUUUACUAACCUGUUGGCUGCUACUCUUGGAUCUCCCUUUUUACUUUCUUAA